rnacentral:rRNA from 1 species
UCAGACUCGUGGCGAAUAGCUCAGUAACACGUGGCCAAACUACCCUUCGGAGCACAAUACCCUCGGGAAACUGAGGCUAAUAGUGCAUACCACAAUCCAGCUGGAAUGAGGAUUGUGCCAAACGCUCCGGCGCCGAAGGAUGUGGCUGCGGCCGAUUAGGUAGACGGUGGGGUAACGGCCCACCGUGCCAAUAAUCGGUACGGGUCAUGAGAGUGAGAACCCGGAGACGGAAUCUGAGACAAGAUUCCGGGCCCUACGGGGCGCAGCAGGCGCGAAACCUUUACACUGCACGACAGUGCGAUAAGGGAAUCCCAAGUGCGCAGGCAUAGAGCCUGCGCUUUUGUCCACCGUAGGGAGGUGGACGAAUAAGGGCUGGGCAAGACCGGUGCCAGCCGCCGCGGUAAUACCGGCAGCCCGAGUGAUGGCCGAUCUUAUUGGGCCUAAAGCGUCCGUAGCUGGCCGCACAAGUCCAUCGGAAAAUCCACCCGCCCAACGGGUGGGCGUCCGGUGGAAACUGUGUGGCUUGGGACCGGAAGGCGCGACGGGUACGUCCGGGGUAGGAGUGAAAUCCCGUAAUCCUGGACGGACCGCCGAUGGCGGAAGCACGUCGCGAGGACGGAUCCGACAGUGAGGGACGAAAGCUAGGGUCUCGAACCGGAUUAGAUACCCGGGUAGUCCUAGCCGUAAACAAUGUCUGUUAGGUGUGGCUCCCACUACGAGUGGGUGCUGUGCCGUAGGGAAGCCGCUAAACAGACCGCCUGGGAAGUACGUCCGCAAGGAUGAAACUUAAAGGAAUU